rnacentral:rRNA from 1 species
GAUGAACGCUGGCGGCGUGCCUAAUACAUGCAAGUCGAGCGAACGGACGAGAAGCUUGCUUCUCUGAUGUUAGCGGCGGACGGGUGAGUAACACGUGGAUAACCUACCUAUAAGACUGGGAUAACUUCGGGAAACCGGAGCUAAUACCGGAUAAUAUUUUGAACCGCAUGGUUCAAAAGUGAAAGACGGUCUUGCUGUCACUUAUAGGUGGAUCCGCGCUGCAUUAGCUAGUUGGUAAGGUAACGGCUUACCAAGGCAACGAUGCAUAGCCGACCUGAGAGGGUGAUCAGCCACACUGGAACUGAGACACGGUCCAGACUCCUACGGGAGGCAGCAGUAGGGAAUCUUCCGCAAUGGGCGAAAGCCUGACGGAGCAACGCCGCGUGAGUGAUGAAGGUCUUCGGAUCGUAAAACUCUGUUAUUAGGGAAGAACAUAUGUGUAAGUAACUGUGCACAUCUUGACGGUACCUAAUCAGAAAGCCACGGCUAACUACGUG